GCUGGUAUGAUCGCAUCCGAAAAUAUUGUGUCGGCCGGCCCUCUUAUGGCGCCUCCGCGUUGCGCGGGUUGGGGCGCGCACGGCGCGAUUCGCGCCCGGGUUCCCAAAAACGGCCGUAACUUUGCGCUCGGGCGACCGUUUUUGACGUGCAGCCCCAAUCCGGAAACAGCACUCCGAGCCGGACGCCUUGGGCCGAUAAGCUGCGCUUUCUCGGCCCCUCUUUCGGCCCCCGAAAAUUCUAUCGUUUCCGGCCUCCGAUUCGUCGGUUUUGUGAAGCCGCGCGACGGACGAUGUUUUUUUCCUCUCUUUUUUCUUCGUUUUUGGUCGUUUUUUUUUUUU
rnacentral:lncRNA from 1 species